AUCCAGCUGAUAUGUCCCAAAUAGAACGAAGCGUGAGUCCUGGAU
rfam:Schistosoma rodhaini strain Burundi genome assembly, scaffold: SROB_scaffold0002616